rnacentral:rRNA from 1 species
GACGAACGCUGGCGGCGUGCCUAAUACAUGCAAGUUGAGCGCUGAAGGUUGGUACUUGUACCAACUGGAUGAGCAGCGAACGGGUGAGUAACGCGUGGGGAAUCUGCCUUUGAGCGGGGGACAACAUUUGGAAACGAAUGCUAAUACCGCGUAAAAACUUUAAACACAAGUUUUAAGUUUGAAAGAUGCAAUUGCAUCACUCAAAGAUGAUCCCGCGUUGUAUUAGCUAGUUGGUGAGGCAAAGGCUCACCAAGGCGAUGAUACAUAGCCGACCUGAGAGGGUGAUCGGCCACAUUGGGACUGAGACACGGCCCAAACUCCUACGGGAGGCAGCAGUAGGGAAUCUUCGGCAAUGGACGAAAGUCUGACCGAGCAACGCCGCGUGAGUGAAGAAGGUUUUCGGAUCGUAAAACUCUGUUGGUAGAGAAGAACGUUGGUGAGAGUGGAAAGCUCAUCAAGUGACGGUAACUACCCAGAAAGGGACGGCUAACUACGUG